UCGGGAAUUUUGGGCAAUGGGCGAAAGCCUGACCCAGCAACGCCGCGUGAAGGAUGAAGUCUUUCGGGAUGUAAACUUCGUAAGAAUGGGAAGAAUAAAUGACGGUACCAUUUGUAAGGUCCGGCUAACUACGUGCCAGCAGCCGCGGUAAUACGUAGGGACCAAGCGUUGUUCGGAUUUACUGGGCGUAAAGGGCGCGUAGGCGGCGAAUCAAGUCAGCUGUGAAAUCUCCGAGCUUAACUCGGAACGGUCAGCUGAUACUGUUUUGCUAGAGUGCAGAAAGGGCAACCGGAAUUCUUGGUGUAGCGGUGAAAUGCGUAGAUAUCAAGAGGAACACCUGAGGCGAAGGCGGGUUGCUAGGCUGACACUGACGCUGAAGCGCGAAAGCUAGGGUAGCAAACGG
rnacentral:rRNA from 1 species